rnacentral:rRNA from 1 species
UCACUCCCAACCCCUGUGACAUACCAAUUGUUGCCUCGGCGGAUCAGCCCGCUCCCGGUAAAACGGGACGGCCCGCCAGAGGACCCCUAAACUCUGUUUCUAUAUGUAACUUCUGAGUAAAACCAUAAAUAAAUCAAAACUUUCAACAACGGAUCUCUUGGUUCUGGCAUCGAUGAAGAACGCAGCAAAAUGCGAUAAGUAAUGUGAAUUGCAGAAUUCAGUGAAUCAUCGAAUCUUUGAACGCACAUUGCGCCCGCCAGUAUUCUGGCGGGCAUGCCUGUUCGAGCGUCAUUUCAACCCUCAAGCCCCCGGGUUUGGUGUUGGGGAUCGGCGAGCCUCACGGCAAGCCGGCCCCGAAAUACAGUGGCGGUCUCGCUGCAGCUUCCAUUGCGUAGUAGUAAAACCCUCGCAACUGGUACGCGGCGCGGCCAAGCCGUUAAACCCCCAACUUCUGAAUGUUGACCUCGGAUCAGGUAGGAAUACCCGCUGAACUUAAGCAUAUCAAUAAGCGGAGGAA